rnacentral:rRNA from 1 species
CAGUAGCCGCGGUAAUACGAAGGGUGCAAGCGUUAAUCGGAAUUACUGGGCGUAAAGCGUGCGUAGGCGGUGAGUUAAGUCUGCUGUGAAAUCCCCGGGCUCAACCUGGGAAUGGCAGUGGAUACUGGCUCGCUAGAGUGUGUCAGAGGAUGGUGGAAUUCCCGGUGUAGCGGUGAAAUGCGUAGAGACCGGGAGGAACAUCAGUGGCGAAGGCGGCCAUCUGGGACAACACUGACGCUGAGGCACGAAAGCGUGGGGAGCAAACAGGAUUAGAUACCCGAGUAGUCCCUGUCUCUUAUAC